GACGAACGCUGGCGGCGUGCUUAACACAUGCAAGUCGAACGGAAAGGCCCCUUUGGGGGUACUCGAGUGGCGAACGGGUGCGUAACACGUGAGUAACCUGCCCCUGCCUUCGGGACAACUUUAGGAAACUGGGGCUAAUACUGGAUAGGAAUCAUUGCUGCAUGGUGGGGGUUGGAAAGCUCCGGGGGUUAUGGAUGGAUUCGCGGCAUAUCGGCUUGUUGGUGGGGUAAUGGCUUACCAAGGCUUUGAAGGGUAGCCGGCCUGUGGGGGCGACCGGCCACAUUGGGACUUAGGUGCGGCCCAAGCUCCUACGGUAGGCAGCUGUGCGGAAUAUUGCACGAGGGGCGGAAGCCUGAUGCAGCAACGCCGCGUACGGUAUGACUGCCUUCGGGUUGAAAACCGCUUUCGGCAGGAGCUAAGCUUGUGGUGACGGUACCUGCAGAAGAAGCACCGGCUAACUACGUG
rnacentral:rRNA from 1 species